GGAUUCCACACAGGAAGGUCACACCAUCCCCCACCAUCAUCAGAGUGGAAUCCUCGGGGAUGAUACUAUUGAUGUUAAAGAAGAGUAUAAAGAGGAGGAUGAGGAGUAUGGAGUGAUGGAGACCCCUAAUAACAGGAGCUCACUAGAGAGAAGUCCCUGUCCUCUGUAUUCCCAGGAUUCCACACAUAAUCAGAGUGGAAAUCUCGAGGAUUAUAAUAUUGUUGUUAAAGAAGAGUAUAAAAAGGAGGAUGAGGAGUAUGGAGUGAUGGAGGAGUUAUCAGAAGGA